UCCGCCGUUGGUGCUAUAUAAGCGACCAACGACUCGCCGAAAUUGAGCACUACCACUUGACGGAUGUACCCGCACGGAUCGCCACUGCCGCCACUUCGCGUUCGGCACGAACAACGAGGACGUAUACACGCAACCGUCGACUUAUACGGACCACAGACUACAGGUAUUAUACGAUUCAUUCUAGUUUAUAAACUACCCCAACAUAAGAUGACUCACUGCAUCACAGCGGGUAUGAAGUUAAUCGUUACGCAUUAGAGCUUUUAGAGCUCUUAGAUUUUGGAAAAUGUGAACAUCGAAUGGAUCAAGUGGGAAUUGAACAGAGCCUUAAAAAGCUUUAAAAAUGUGGUCUAUACAUUCCAAACACACGUUCCAGAAAGUAGACAGCAAAUGUGCGGACAUAGAUACUGCCGUACUGGUAUCUUUCGAAAAGUGAGUGUUGGGACGUUGGAUGUUGUUUUAAAAUGUCAAUGUUCAUAUCUACGUUUACCAAACUAUUUCAUAGAAUAGCAUGGGUGUCACUAUAUUUGAAAGAAUAAGAUAGACGUUUCCACACCACAGCAUAAAUCGUCAGCGCUUCAUCUGAAGAAAAGGUACUGGGCAUUGGCAUACUGUUCGGACGGAGCACAAUUUCCUUGCAACCUAUAUAUUAUAUAAUUUACUGUUUUAAGUGUUAUAGUUACAAAUUUUAUCGAUUAAAGUAUCUAGUAAAUAGAAAUAGAACUUUCAAAUGAUUAUAAUAGCAAUAUAUUAAAAACAAUUUGUACUAAA